CGUGCAAAAUUUAAAUACGAAAUCGAUAAAAAUAAAGAUAAAUAAAAUCGCCCAACAUUACGUGUAUGUGGUGUGUGAAUAUGUGGCGCCGCACAGGCGCACACCAAAGUGCAAAGUGUAAUUGUGGUUCAGUAAAAUUAAAUACCAGACUGUGUAGCCAAAAAGAAUAAAAAAUAUGCAAGCUUCAAAGCAAUAAUUGUGCAUAAUUAAAGUUUUCUAAGUGCAAACAAAUUGGCGCUAAAACAAUGCCGCUGAAUAAAAUGCAGCGCAAGCCUUCCAACGAAACACUCGCCAGCCUAGCGUUUGACAGCACGCUAGACUCGCGCAUGUCCAGCGCGGAAAUACCGCAAAUGGAGCUGCUGAAAGUCAACUAUGUGCAGCAGUGCAAGGAAGUGCGCAUGCCGCGUCCUAUCUCCGCAACACAGCAGCAGCGGCAGUCAUUUAUAGCUCAGAACGGCACGAAAUAUCCCGGCUAUAAGCAAGCGGUUACCGCAAGCAGUCAUAGCCAAUUCGCCAAUGGUGCCAAGUUGAACAUCGCCAAUGGAGGCAAAGUGCAGCCCCCUACUGACCAUCAGCGCGUUGCACCCUCUAAGGGCAAGUUGGUGCGCGGCACACAACAACCGCUACCGCCGCCCACGGUGGAGUCAUGGAAAUUUCUGCAGCAUCAGCUGCCACAAGUAAAGCCGCAAGAGCUUCGUUUGCCACUCAUGCGCGCCAAGUCCGCUUCUGCCGUAGUUGCUGCGGCCACCGCCACUGCUGACGCCGACGAACGAGAUUACGCUGAUGCACGUUCGUGCUGCAAUUCCUCCUGCGAUUCUGCUACACACUCAUCCGACUCAUCAGAUGACGAUGAUGGCAUCUCCACUGUUUACCCGGAUUGCGAGAAAUCGCACAGCUGGAAUUAUCGUGCGCGCAUUUCCACUUGCGAUGUACGACGCGAUAUUGCACGCGCUGGCAUUAAGUCGCGCGCUGAUCGCAUAGCGCGCAUUGAGCAGACGGACUGCGAUCAUCAGCAGCAACGGCCUAAGGCGACAAGUAACGCAGCAUCAAAUGCUAAACGUGCAUCUUUGCCAGCUACUUUGAGGGUAGAUAGUAGCGCGCAAAUGCCAGCAGUAGUUUCGCAAAUCAAUCGACUCUUUGAGCAAGCCAAGCGUCCGGAGCAGCGACGCUCCACGAAACAGCAUCGCGCGCCUGCGCCGCCGCUAUCACAGGAUGCAGUAUUAACAGCAUUUACACCACAAAGUGCAUCUAACGCACGAGCACGGCCGCCUGCGCAGCCGCUACGCCCAGCACCAAUACCCAAAAAAGAGCCCAACAUGCGCAUGCGCGGCGCGCGCGAAAUGCUGCCCAGCAUAGAGGAACGUACGAAACGUUUGAGCAACUCAAGCGCACCUGCAGACUGCCGCGAUUGUAUUCUGGAGAGUAGCGCCAAUGCGAGCGAAGUUCGAAACAUGCGCUGCGCAGUAAAUGAGGCACGCUUCACACGCUCAUCGCCUGAGCAAAGACAACAAGUGUCGCGCAUACCAAAGCCCAUAAGCGAGCCACAGCAGCAACAUCGACACUCCACCAGCUCGGCGCAGGUAUACAGCGAAGCGAAUGAGCAGCUGCAGCGACGCAUACGUCAGCUUUUCGAUCCUGAGCAGGAACGCAAGCAGCAGCUGCAGCGGCAGGUUACAGACGAGUUUCGCAUGCAGUGCGCUGCCGAGAAAAUAAAACUACGCGCCACCAAAUCAACGGCGUUUGAGGAGCCGGAUAAGUCCAAGCGCGGUAGCGCUGAUGCAGACGCGCAAAGCUGCGAUGAGCUGGAUAAACUUUUGCCAAAACAAGUGCGUCAGCCUGCAGCGGCGAGUUUUCAGAAAAUUAAAAUGGAGCGCGUGCACAUACGCAAGAAGCGACAGCCGCUGCUCAUAAUCAAUCAACUUAACGAGGGCAAGCCGGCAAAUAAUGAUAAAGUGAAGGAAGAAAGCGAGCCACUGAGGACGACGAAAUGUUGUGCCACGCCGCAUAAGGUGUCAAAGGAAGCCGCGCAUAGGUCAGCUCCGGACGGCAGCCGACGCACCUGUGGCUACAAGAACUGCAACUACACUAAUUGUCCCAUGUCGGCGACCAGCAAUGCAGGCAGCAGCAGCGGCGUCAGCACACCGCACAACUCCGAUGAGGAGCUGAGCGCGCGCAAGCGUCUGUCGCUCGAGAGCUGCUGCUCCGAUUCCGGCGUGUCAUCGUCCACAGAUCUGAAGGAGCGCCAUACCAAUCAGAAUAAUAUGAAGAACCUGGAGAAGUGUGCGGACUGUGUGAAAAUUCUGCUCAACCAAGCGGGCGCGGAGUCAACCGUAAUGCAACACUGUCUCAAACUUACGCCUACCGCUGCGGUCGCUGCUGCGACGCCCAAGUUGAAGGAGCUGGACGCUGAUGUGGCAAAAGGGGGACAAAUUAAAAUACGCGUUGGGAAAGCGCCUGGCGGCGAUCCAAAUGAUGUGCAAAAUUUCGCAAAAAAAAGUCUUAUUAAGGCCACUACGGAUGAGUUAUUGACGGCGGCGGUGCAAGCAGCAAAAAACAACACCAGCAACAAAGUAGGCGCGGCAGUGGAUAAGUUGUCUAACCGGACAGCCAAGGCAAGCGCCAGCAACAGCACCAAACAGUGCAACAUCGAAAAUGACCUAAAAAAUAAUGAACAACGCAUUUACAACAACACAAAUUGCAACAGCAGCAGCCACAACAACAAUAAAGACAGCAAUAGAAGCGCCAGCGAGCAGAUACCGUUAUGCGCCACAACAAUAAAAAUCGAUGACGAUUGGUUACCCGAGCAAAACGGCUGUGAUGCCGACUCGUUGAUGGUGCCACCGUCGCCCCCGCUGCGCACCUCAUCCAAACACGCACCGCAUGCACGCCAACAAUUUCACAACAGCAACAAUGACAAUAAACAUGGCAACAGCACUGCCGGCAGCUCCGAAAGUGACAAGCACAGUGUGAAGAUUUUCGUGCGUAGCUCAGCAUCCAGCAGCGGCGGCGGCGGCGGCGGUGUGGGCGGCAAUCAAUCGCGCGCUUCGCUAAUUUCUAUGUGCUCAUACACUUCCCAAGCUUCAGGUUGUUCGUCGAAUUCAGAAGCUUCCGCGUUGACAAACGCCAGCAAAACGUCCGCAUCCGGUAGCUCCUACACAACAAUUUCGAGUAGCGCUUCGAGCAGUGGCGAAGCAGGUAAAUGCAAUUGCCAGCGGGGCAGAAGUGUCAACACAGCUACACAUAAAGAAGAAGACGAGGAAAUGGCUGGCGAAACAGAGGACACAGAUGACUAUUGCAGCCUGCGUCGCAUGACCAAAUCGGGUAUUUUCUACAAUCGCGCUGCAGACAGAGAAGGUACCGAAAACGAUACGCUACGCGUAUGCGCUGCAUCGCCGACACCAUCGGCGGACACCUUCAACGAAAUCAGCUGUGUCGCAUGCGGCGAAGAAGCGAAAUGCUGCCAAGCUAGUAUCAGCAGCGGGACGAUUGGUGGUGUGUUUUUGAACAACUCUUACUUUCAACAAGAAGCCGAGCUGGUGACGGCGGACGCUAGCAAGUCGACCCAUAAGAACGGAUCUGAGUUGAAGGCGCGUACGCCAAUCGACAAAAUCGAGGGCCAUUGCGAUGAUAAUGAACAAUGUUGCUGCAGUUUGACCAGCUGUGACGAUGACAAUUGCUCUUAUUAUGAAUGUGGCGGCAGCGGCGGUGACGGCAGCAGCGCUGGUGAGCCCCAAACUGACGAUGAUCAUUGCGUAUCGCGUAUUGAGGUGCAUGCAAGCGUACACACGCCCAGCAGUAGUAGCGGCAGCAACGGCAGCGGUUGCAGCAAAAUUGAAGGCAGCGAUAAGCGUGGCGCCGAUAACAGCCUUGCGGUGACUAGUAAGAACAAAAGCGCCGAUUGUGAAUGUGUGCAGCACCACUGUCGCGCAGCGGCAAAUUCUACUUCCAAGGACAGCAAUGCGCUUGAGGCAGAGCGUCAGCACGUGCGCGAGCGUGAGCGCUGUGCAGCGCGUCAACAACAGCAACUAGAACAGCAGUGGCUGUGUCAGCGCAUGAGCGAACGUGAACGCGAUCGGCAAAUGCAGUUUGUGCGAAAUAGCAGCGCAGAGGAGAUUUUAAUACGUAAUAAACACUUUUUGAGGAAGGCUGACCUCAUACAUGAACUGCGACCAAGAUCAAUGGAUGGUGUCAUUGACUCAUCAUCUGGGUCAUUAAAUGGUGACACUAACCGUUCGAGUCCAGAUAGCGGAAAUCAUAUACAAAAUCAGCAGGACGCUGAAGCGCGACGUAUACACCGAGGACACGUACUCACCGAACUGCUCGAGACAGAACGGAUUUAUGUGAAUGAAAUGGCCUCUAUUUUAAAGGGCUAUCGUGAUCAAAUGCUAUCUGAAGAAAUGAUGCAUCUUGUACCCGCCAGUCUGCAAGGUAAAGAGGAUAUUUUAUUCGGCAAUUUACACGAAUUGUAUACAUUUCACAAUGAGAUCUUUCUGAAAGAUCUGGAAAAUUGUAUAUCUACGACAGAAUUGGUGGCGCUGUGUUUUGUGCAAAGGCGCGACACCUUCUAUCGUUUAUACUCCUUCUACUGCCAAAAUAUACCACGCUCCGAUCGGCUGCGUGAAACGCUCGUCGAUACACAUCUCUUCCUGCAAGAAUGCCAAAAGCGUUUGGGUCACAAGCUACCACUGGGCGCAUAUCUGCUGAAGCCAGUGCAACGCAUUACCAAGUACAAAUUGCUGCUCGAAAAUCUGCUGGGGUCCAGCGAUAGCGGCAGCUGUACCAAAGAAUUACAAAAGGCUUUAGAUUGUAUGCUAAUCGUGCUGCGUUGUGUGAACGAUUCGAUGCAUCAAGUGGCUAUAACGGGAUUUCCGAGCAAUCUUUCGCAACAAGGCGAACUACUGCUGCAGGAUCCCUUCCAGGUGUGGACGGAGUCAAAGAAGGAUUUGCGACUGCGCAAAAAACCGCAGCAGCGACAUAUUUUCCUUUACCAAAAAUCUAUGAUUUUCUGUAAGAAAACCUCGAAGCCUGGACACAACAAGAGCACCUAUCAGUUUAAGCAUCAGCUGAAGUUGUCACAAAUCGGCCUCACCGAAUCGGUACGCGGCGAUUCAACGCGCUUCGAAGUCUGGCUACAGGGACGCCAAGAAGUGCAUACACUGCAGGCGCCCACCGAGGAGGUGAAAAAUAAAUGGGUCACUGAAAUUAAGCGACUGCUGCUCAAUCAACUGGAAGAGCUGAAAGGCGAAAAGAUCAAACAGUAUGGCAUGAAUCAUCAUGGCCUGCGGCAGACAACCUCAUGGGAUACGCCAAAUAUUCUGUUGGGCAUGCCACAACGCGCUGUGAGCUGUGAUGCAUCCUCCGAGUCUUCAAAUCGCAAUUCGAAUUGCAGCAGCAGUGGCGAUGAUGUUUACCCGCAUGGCAUGCCACCACCACUCUCGACGGUGACAGGCAAUGGGCAUGCGCAUGGCAAUAGCGCUAGUGGUGUUGGUGGUGACAAAGAGCAACAAGAGGCAUGCGGCUGGAGCUCGGAUUACUCGAAUAGUGAGGAUGAAAUGUCGAUCAUCGAAGACAACAGCGCGCCGCGUUUCAUGAAUUUUCUGGCCCAGUGGACCUACAAUUCUGAUGGUAAUGGUAGUGGCUCUUAUCCGCGUAACAGCAAAUCCAAUUCGAAAUUCUAUGUCUCCGUGGAGCAUUGAGCAGUUAAGCAAGCGUUAAAACGACAAAAAUAAUGGAAGUAAUAUACCCCCUUCACAGAGAAAAAAAAAAAUCGAAAAAUGUACGAAAUACCAAAAAGUUAGUGAAAAAUCAAAACGAAAUCGCCGACCGCUUAAUUUAUAGUACAAAAUAAUAUUUAGUCACGUAAACGACACGCAGUAAAAACUUAAAAGCACGCAAAUUUUAAAAUAUGCUAUAGCAGUACUCAUAGCGAUUACAGCUUAGUGCAACAGAUCAUCAGUCGAGUACAGAAUUGAGUAUUUAGUCCAAAAAUGUAUUUGUAGCGCUAACGAAUUACAUAUGUAAAUAUUUUAUAGUAAAGUGAGACAAGUAAAAAAAACAAAAAAUUCACUAUAAAAGUGCAUCGUUAUUUAAAGCAUUAAAAAGUAAACAUCUUCACUGCCAAUCAUCUAUAAAAGCCAAUAUCACGCAUUUUACGCUCUUCAGUCAUGCUCAAGACUCGAUUGUUGGACUUAAAAUUCUACAACAAAAGACAAUCGAAUGCACUAAGAAUCAAACUUUCCUCCUUAAAACUCGUCUAUAUCCUUAAUAUCCACAGUCAGCACUAACUUUUUACACUACCAAAAAGACGACACUAUAUUUUGUCUCGCUCGCACACCGAACACAUGCCAACCAACCCCCCUUUUGUUGUGCGUCUCCAUUUCACUAAUUUCUGUUUCUUUUCUUCCCGCUGCUUCCUUUCAAUUCACAUUCGUGCCUGUCAAACUUUUGUCUCUUUUACACCUGCUCGUCUCAUGCAUAUGCUUGCUUGUAUGUGUGCGUAUUUGCGCGUCUCUUCAUAUAGACUUGCGCGAUGUACAAACGUCUGCAAUAAAAUUCCUGCCAGUCGUCUGACUCAUUCUGAAUCAUGCUCUCGCUGUCACACUCUCUCUCUCUCUCUUGCUUCCUCGACCGACAUGCCACCGAUUGUGAUCGUAAUCGUUCAUCAUGCAUACAUAAGUACGUGUCGUCAUCAAGCGUUAAUCCCUUAUUCAUCAUUUGCAUAAUUCAAUGAAUAACGUUACAUAAAUCUGCGUGUAAAAAGCGGCUUCAAAUGGAGGCAGUCUGUCGAAAAAGAUUUGCAAGCCAAUGCAGAGGGUUGGACACCAGCGGCAUAUUUGGAACCGCUCAAUCGAAAAUCUUCUCGAAGCUCGAGCCGCAAUCAGGAGCGA